UCUUAAAAAUUGCAAGGAAAAACUUUAGUUAUUUUAUUUUAUUUUUAAACAUCCUCUUCUAAUUUAUCACUUAAAUCCCUCUCCAAACAGAGAACAGAUAAAGAAAUGUUGUCUCCCUUUCUUUCUUUUCUUAUAUCACUUUUCCGACCCAUCUUCUUCCACUGAACAACUAAACAAGCAACUCAAGCUGAACUCUUCAUCUUCAUCUUGCUUCAAAAGCGCUCGUUGUCUUCCAAGCCAUCCGAUCUGUCCUCCCACACCAAAUCCAAGCCUUCAAAUCCCAACUUAGCCACAAUGGUGAAGAAGUUCAUGGAGAAGAAGCCAUCAUCUUCUUCGUCGAAGGCGGUGAAGAUGGUGAUUUCGUUGGAUGUGAUUGCAGAGGACUUGAAGAAGACGGCGAGGAAAGGAACGAGCUUCAAAGGCUUGUAUAAGAAGCUGUUUGGGACUGGGAAUGAAACGACAGUGUUUGACAGUAAGAAAAGAAGGAGGUGAAGGAGAACAUGAGGACGUUGGCUAUGGUGUUGAGGAGUGAGAGAGAGCUUCUGGUUAUGAAUAAGAAGCAAGAGAUGGAGAUUUCUCAGCUUAAGUUCAUGCUUGAGGAGAAGAGCACAGAGGUCAGUGAGGGUUUUUUUUUUUUUUUUUUUUUUUUUUUUUUUCUUUCCUUUUCUUUUUUGAGAAAUGCUCUGUUUGGAUUGGGAGAAAGGAAGGGAAAAGAAAAGAAAGAAAGUGGGGAAUUUGAGUGAACAUUUUGUAAUUCGUUUUUUAUUUGGAGAGGGAUUUAAGUGAUUAGUUAAAAAGGAUGUCGUGGCAGGAUUUUAUUGGACAGCCUGCCCGAAUAUAUUCUCAUCCGAAAAACCCCAAUCGGCUUAUCAUAGAUUAAACCAUUCGUUUCUUCUCGUUCUCUCUCUCUCUCUCUCCCCGCUCGAACUCUUCAUCUUCAUCUUCGGUGAAGUAUAUCCCGAAUCCACUAUUGCGCCGACUGUACUGCACAUGUUACUGUAGCCGGAAAAUAUGUUUAAUCUCCAAUAAUCGAUUGGGUUGGUGUUCUCUGAUGGAUACAAUGGAAGCAAAUAUUAAAACUGAAACUGUGGACAAUACACUUGAGGGGAACAAAGGUUCAUCUGUUACGAUAAAAGUUCUGUUUUUUGCAAGAGCUCGAGAUCUUACUGGCUUGAAUGAGAUGCCAUUGGAGGUGUCAUCUGGUAGCUCUGCCAAUGAUUGUUUAAAUAAUCUUGUUGCCAGGUUUCCAAGCUUGGAAGAAAUCCGUGGGUGUAUCGUUCUUGCUCUAAAUGAGGAAUACACUACCGAGUCAGCAAUCGUUAAAGUCGAAGAUGAGUUGGCUAUUAUACCUCCCAUUAGUGGUGGCUAGUUAUUUUUCUUUUGUAACUAUCACUUGAUAUGUGUGUAUUCAACAUUCUGCUCUGAUUUUGAGGCUCUCAUCAGUGGCGAUACAAAAGCAUAUUUGUCCUAGAAACCUGAGGUUUCAUGGGAAAAAAUAUUGGUUUAACUUUGUCUACAGUAUGGUUAGAAAUUCCAGAUUACGACUUAUAGCUUUUGUGCUUCUUUGUAUUCCGAAUAAUAAUAAAUAAUAGAAAAGUAUGUAUCUUUUUGUUC